GAGUGCUUUUAAGUUUAUAGGUCAUCGACUGUAUGCCAGGGAGAUUUUAACGUAAGCGGGGCUUUCUCUCGUGUGAAAGGGAAAGGCCUCACCGUGCCACCGCGUGUAUGCUUACCCUAUCAAUGUGAAGUCGGUCGGCGUAGAAGUCGAGUGCGUUUCAGGUUUAGAUCUUGACAGCCGUUUCAAGGUGCAGAAGUCGGCGGGAAUCGAUCUAGUAUCGCCAACUCUGCAGGUGAGAGAUGGAUGCUUGAAGCAUAGACUGCUGCUGAGUACUGUCUGGGGGCACGAAGGUGACUGACCUAAGGAUGUCCUUGGUGAGGAAUUUGAAAACUUGAUCUUCACAGGAGUUGCGUGGAUCAUUUAAAAUUUCCAGGAGUCUAAGGAAUAUUAAAAUUACUGCCUUUGGACAAUCCAUAAAUAUACAUUUUAAGUGAUGGGGCUAUGAAUAAAUAAUGUGCUUCUUGGA